rnacentral:rRNA from 1 species
AGAGUUGAUCAUGGCUCAGGAUGAACGCUAGCUACAGGCUUAACACAUGCAAGUCGAGGGCAGCAUGGGAGUGCUGCAAUCCUGAUGGCGACCGGCGCACGGGUGAGUAACGCGUAUCCAACCUUCCCCUUAGUAGGGCAUAGCCCGGUGAAAAUCGGAUUAAUACCCUAUGUUCUUCACAGCAGACAUCUAACGUGAAGCAAAGGCUCACCGCUAAGGGAUGGGGAUGCGUCUGAUUAGGUAGUAGGCGGGGUAACGACCCACCUAGCCUUCGAUCAGUAGGGGUUCUGAGAGGAAGGUCCCCCCACAUUGGAACUGAGACACGGUCCAAACUCCUACGGGAGGCAGCAGUGAGGAAUAUUGGUCAAUGGGCGAGAGCCUGAACCAGCCAAGUAGCGUGCAGGAUGACGGCCCUAUGGGUUGUAAACUGCUUUUAUAUGGGGAUAAAGUUCACCACGUGUGGUGUUUUGUAGGUACCAUAUGAAUAAGGACCGGCUAAUUCCGUGCCAGCCGCGGC